AUGGAUGGAGGCACUGCUGUGACUGCUGUCCCUGGGGUGGGUGGGAUGUGGGGGGAUCAGGAGGUGUCACCAGCACAUGUCACCCUGUCCCUUGCAGGUCUGCAGAGCUGCCAUGCCUCCGUGGUGCUGAAGGGGAAGCAGGGACAGCCACUGUCCUUUCCGGAGCUGCGCCCCGUGGCUGAGGACAUCGUGAGGAUCACCUGGAUGUCUGAAAGGCACGGCACACACAUUGCCGAGGCCAAGCCUAGGGUGAAGGAGUUUGCAGUGGGUUUCCUGCCUGAAUUCCAAGACCGGCUGCGAAUCCAUCCCCAGGUACUGUCGCUGGAGAUCACAGAGCUGCGCAGCACAGAUAUAGGCCGGUACUCUGCAGUGGUGGACACCGCCUCCAAGCCCAGCAGCCCCAGUACAUUUUCCUACCUUGUGGUUCUCGAUCACCCCCCUGGGACAACUGACAGCGACACAGGAGGACACAGCAGGAGCACAUCUGGACCAACAAUGAGCUCUGAGCCCGGUGCUGGGGAGGGGACCACACUGGGCCCGGGCAAGGGGCAGCUCCCAGGUGCUGGGGAGGCUCCGGGGCCAUGUGGGGCACGGGGUGGGUACUGCAUGCUCAGGGGGUAUCUGGUGGCCUCUGUGUUUGGCCCACUGGUGGUGCUGCUAGUGGCUGUGCACGUGGUGACCAGGCAUUGAGACUGGGAGAUGAGUGGGACCCACACUGGGUUCCAGAGGGACAAGAGUGGGGUCUGAGCCCACCCAGAACAACCCCACAGUUCUCCCAUGAUCACUGCGUUCAACCAGACAGGAAAAGCCACAUUCACCACAUUCAGUGAAGCCUUGUGAGGGCAUGAAAUGCAUUUCCUCAUCUCUUGUACAAGCCCCAAACCCAGUGGCACUACUUCCUCCCAGUGGCCACACAAACCCCACUGUAUCCCAGCACUCCCAGUCCGGGAUCUCCUCCUUUAUGGGGUCAGCACUGAAUUCGUACCCACAGCCCUGAAUUUGGUGUGAGGUAACAAUUCAGCAUCUCAUCCAACCUUCCACAGUUUAUAAGAAGUGAAUUAUUUACUGGUGACCCCAACUAAACGCUGCACGGCAUAAAUUAUGGACGGGCAGAUCUGUCAAAAAGUUCUCAUAAAUAAGUGAUCCGGUGCCAUCUUCGUGUUCCCAGAAAAUUACUCAUCCAAUCUCCUGUCUAAAUGCUCUCCUGGGAAAACUCCUCACACCCGCUCUGCUGCUUUAUGAAUGGGAGUGGGAAGGUAAAGGGCAAUGGGGAGGGAGAACCCCGUGGGAUCCUCCCCACAUCCAUGUAAUGUUCAGAGCCUAUGGUGUAGGGUGGGGGGAGCUGCGGGGGUCACCCCUUGGGGACCUGGGGAGCACAGGGCAGUGUGGAUCCUGCCCUUCCCUAUGCAUCUCUUCCAUUUAUUGGGGGACACAUCCCCUCCAGCAAUACCACAGGGCUCCUCCAGAUCCAUGAGCAGAGCCCCAUCACAACUCCAUAGCAAUGCCCUGGGACAGAGAGAAAGCACUAAGGCACACCCCAUGUUCCCCACCACCCACCCCACCCCACCCCGCGUUUGCGUUAAUAAUUGAAUGCCAGUCUGGGGGACAAUGAUUUAUUUAAAGGAAACAACAUGUUAACAAGAACACAAUCUGAUCCCCAGCCACAGACGUCUGCUUUAUUAGCACCUCUGUCCGAAAGCAGCGCCCCGGAGGCAAACAAACAAACGUGGCAAAUAAAACCCUCCUUUGGAGACACGCUCAGGAAAUUACCAUGUAAAAGGGGGGGAAAAAAACACAAAUACACAAAAAUAGAGGGUGGAGGCACCGCUCCCACGGUGCUCACAUCAGGGAUGGAGCGCUUGAGGUGAAGAAUGUGCAGAGCUGGGAAUGGGACAGCCCCUCGGGGUGAUGAUGCUGGAGGUGCAUUUUGGCCAAAUCAACGGAUAUUUUGGCCAGAUCGUGGAUAUUUUGGCCAAAUCACGGAUAUUUUGGGCAAACCCUGGACAUUUUGGCCAGAACCCGAGUAUUUUGGCCCCAUUCCCAGCAUGUUGGCCAAACCCAUAGCACCUGCCACCCCCCCAGCCCUCAAACUCUGCUCUCCGUACCACUGGGGAAGCCGCUGCUGCGCCGUUUGCUGGUGGGGAAACGGAGGCAAACCGAGCAGCAAAGCGACCAGACCCUGAGGACGCCCCUCUGAGCUCUUUAUCCUCGUGCCUCUGCCCGGUUGUGAAAUUCUCUUUCCAUCAGCCAAGCAGUCCAGAAGUUACUGGCAGAGAGCGGAGCACGAGCGCAUGAGCUGCGUCUCCUCGGGAAAGCGGCUCCUGCAGCGCUCUGCAAAUCACCGUGCGCUGAGCGGGCGGCAGCGGGCGAGCAGCACCCACCGCCCCCCCCUCCCCCUUCCCUUCCUGGGGCCGUUAAUUGCCAUGGAAUAGGGGUCACAGCGGCGGGAGCGCAGGCAAAGAGCUCCCACGUAAUUGCUUUACAAGAAAUAAUAAUAAUAAAGAGAGCGGCCGCCGCUCUGCAGGCUCGGCAGCCCGGUGUGGCUGUGGAGGGAAAUCCACCUCCUGCCCGCGCCGAGGUGCUUUGCAGAGCUCGCAAAUUAUUUCUCCAUCCCGGUGAGAAGAAAGCAGAACCCAUUUCCCUGGUGCACGGUGGGCGCAGGGAGAGGAAUGCGGCCCCCAGGGGCCCCCACCCGAGGAGACAGAGGGGACCCGGUGGUGUCACCAAGCGCUGCGCCCGUGCAGACCGGCCAAAUCCCCCACGAGUCGCCUAACGAGCUCUUCGUUAGCCAUUCCGCUCCAGCGCGCAGCUCGUAAUGAGCAAAGGCGAACGGCUGCCUCCAAAUGGGCUCUGGAAGCCGCUCGCAGACAUUAGGCUCUGUAUAAAUAUCGUUAUGAUUGUUAUUAUUAUUGGCACAGAUGGGCUUUCAUGGACCGCCGCGCACCGCGGGAGUUCCUGUUCUGCCUCCGGCGCUCGGCGAGGGGGAGAAAACAAAUUGCUGAUGCCAACUCCACGAGGAGAGCGGGGGUGCUGAGAGCCCGGCCACCAGCUGGGGGGGUGGGCACCGUGAUGGUGACCCCCGAGGCCAAUGGGGGCACGUGCAGCACAAGGACGGGCUUGCAACGCUCAGCCCACCCCAUCCCGAUGGGGGCUGCGUCGGUGGGAGCCGGGAAUCCCCCCCCCCCACCGUCUGCCACUUGUUGGUCCCUGCGCUGUCCCCAUCCCCGCUGCUGGCAGCUCCUCCAUUGCGCUCCAUCAGCACAUUCCUCUCCUCUCCCCCCUGACCUCUCGCCCUUUCCUUUGCGCUCCACAAACUCCCGCACGUUUCCUCCCCCCCGCGCCAUCUUUUCUCCUCCCCGAAUUCCUGCGGGACGCGGAUCCCGUCCCCCCAGCCCCCCCACCCCUCCCAGCGCCGAGGGAAGGGGCUGUGGAGUCUGGGACAAGAGGACGGGCUUUGGGGAGCUAGAAGGUUUCUGUGUCCGGCCGGACACGGCAUCACAGCGAUCGUCCCCACGCAGCUGCCACAUCACCCACGAGUGGCUGCGGUUUUAAUUAAACACCCCUUCGCUCCGCUCCUUUCAUUGACGUCUCCGCUCCCCCCCCCCCCCCCACCGGCGCCCCGGCCCGGGACUCCCGGAGGCACCAGGGGGCAGAGCGGGGCCGUCAUCCGCGAUCCGGGGCGGGGAACGAGCGUUCGGGAUGGGAGGGGGGGGUGAGGAGAACUAAGCUGCAGCCCCGAGUGGGGGGGGGGGGGGGAAGAGGGGAAGAGGAGUAGGAGGAAGAGCCCCCGAGUGGAGAACAGUGCCCACCGUGAGCCCCCUCCGUAUGGCACAGAGGGUAAACCCAGAGCGCAGGGAGCAGGCUGGGGGGUGGCAGGUCUGGCAAACAAGCAAAUAAGUAAAUAAGUAGGACUAAUAAAUAAAUCAAACGACCUAAAUCGGUGCUAGAAAUCCCCGCUCGAGCCAAGGAAAGGGCCGCUCUGCUCCCGGCCCCAGCGCUGCUCGCCUCCACCCUUGGCACAGCCGCAGCCCGGCGGGCGCAGGAGAUGCUGCUGACUCAGGCAGCCGCGCUGGUUCCCAUUUGCAAUGUUUUCUUUAAAACCCUCAGGGCUAGAAAUUCUAUUAAAAAAAAAAAAAAGAAAAAAAAAAGAAAGAAAAGAAAAGAAACCCAACAACAACAGCAGCCAAACAUAUAUAUAUAUAUAUAUAUAUAAAAAAAAAUCAAACCCCAACCAUGAAAGCUGAAGCUUCUGCCUCUACCCAGAGCUUAGCCCGCUCCGCUCUACUUGGAAAGCUUCCCUUCCCCGGAGCCUGCAGGCAAGAGGAUUUUUGGAGCUGCUGAUAUCCAGGGCCUUCAGCUGCGGCUUAGAAAGUUUUCAAAGAGGAAUAGAGAGGGAAGGAUCAGCGCGUGGUGAGCGGGGAGAGGUGAGGCCGGAGCGGGGGGGAGGCAGGGGGGGGCUUAGCCUGCAGCCCCCUACCUGGGUGGGAGCUGGGGGUCCUGGAAGGGGGGGAGCUGGGGGGGGGCCGUAGGGGGUACAGAGGGUCUUUGGGGGGGAGGUGUGAGUCCUGGGGGUGUACUGGGGGGUUCUGGGGAGUCCUGGUGGGAAUACUGGGGGUCUUGGGGAGGUCCUGGGGGAGAUGUGGGUCCUGAGUGGGUGCUGCCAGACCCACGCAAGUGCGUGCCACGCUGUGCACACCCACCCAGCAGGCACACACGUGUGUGCUCACAGACACGUGCCCUCCCCAACACGCACACACGGGCUGCACGCGCAGCCAACACACACGCACGCUGACACGCGUGUGCGUGGAAAAGAACAACCCCCAACCCCGCGCUCACACAUGUGCUCACACCAACAUUCCUGCAGCACCGGGCAGACGCGUGCACACACCGACAUGCGUGCACACACACGCACACGCAUGCACGCUCGCUUCCACACCAACACGCGCGCACCAACAUGCCUCCACAUGCGUGUACACAUACGCACGCAUAUCCACACACCCGCAAACACUCCGAGCACCGCGCAGCCCCCGCCCUCCCGCUCCCCCUCCCCAAAGUGUCCCGAGUCCGCCCCCGGCCCGGCCCCGCCCCGCCGGCAGCGCGCACUCCGGGGCGGCGCGGCUCAGCUCGGAGCGGCACGGAGCGGUUUAGCACGGAGCGAGCGGAGCCCGUGGCCCUUCCCCGGCCCCGGCCCCGGCCCCGGCCCGGCCGGGCCAUGCUCUAACGGCGGCGGCGGGGCCGAGCGGGGCGGCGGGGAGCGGGCCCCCCCGCGCCCCGUGCCCGC
rnacentral:lncRNA from 7 species